rnacentral:rRNA from 1 species
UACGAAGGGGGCUAGCGUUGCUCGGAAUUACUGGGCGUAAAGCGCACGUAGGCGGAUCGUUAAGUCGGGGGUGAAAUCCUGGAGCUCAACUCCAGAACUGCCUUCGAUACUGGCAAUCUCGAGUCCGGGAGAGGUGAGUGGAACUCCGAGUGUAGAGGUGAAAUUCGUAGAUAUUCGGAAGAACACCAGUGGCGAAGGCGGCUCACUGGCCCGGUACUGACGCUGAGGUGCGAAAGCGUGGGGAGCAAACAGG